CCAAAGUCAAAAACCCUUGAUUUCAAGCACUCAGCCUCCGACACCACCAUGAGUUUAAUUGCAGGCUCCUACGAGAAAUUCAUCUGGGGUUUCAAGCUCAAGCCCUUAAAACACAACGAUUCACAGGAAACCUUAACUCUAAUCCCUCUCUUCUCCUACCCUGCCCACCUCGCCCCCAUCACCACAGCCGCUGCCGCUGGCCCAGCCGCCGCAUCCGGUUCUUCCGACGAUACCAUUCACAUAUACGACAUUCCUUCCGCCUCCUCCCUUGGCUCCCUCCACCACCACACCUCCUCUGUCACCUCUCUCUCCUUCUUCACCCCUCCCUCCCUCUCCUUUCCCCGCAACCUCCUCUCUGCCGCUGCCGACGGCUCCGUCUGCAUCUUCGAUGCCGACCCCUUUGUCCACUUAAAGACAGUAUGGGCUCACAAGAAGGGUGUGAAUGACUUGUCCAUACAUCCAUCUGGGAAAUUGGCGCUUACGGUGGGGAGGGAUGAAUGCUUGGCGAUGUUGAAUUUAGUGAGGGGAAGGAGGAGCUUUUAUUGUAGGCUGGGGAAGGAGGCGAGUUUGGUGAAGUUUGAUUUGGGUGGAGAGAGAUUUUUUAUGGUGACAGAAGAGAAGGUUGGGAUUCAUCAGGCUGAAGAUGCCCGGCUGGUGACUGAGCUUGAGUGUAGGAAACGGGUUCUUUGUGCUGCUUCUGGAGAGAAUGAACUUCUGUUUACUGGUGGUGAGGACCGGAAUAUUACAGCAUGGGACACAAACAGUGGAAAACUUGCAUAUUGCAUUGAGGAUGCACAUUCUGCCCGUGUGAAAGGUAUUGUUGUGCUUACUAGGAAUGAUGAUGAUGUAAAUGAUCCAUAUCUAUUGGCAUCAGCAUCAUCAGAUGGAGUUAUACGUGUUUGGGAUGUUCGCAUGGCUGUGAAGGAGAAGCCAAAUCCAUUGGCUGAGGCCAACACAAAAUCAAGGCUGACUUGUCUUGCUGGAUCAUCUCUUAAAUGUGAGUGCUGUGCUUGUAUGAUUAAUGCUUUCCUUCCAGUUUAACACAUUCUACUAUUUUCUCUGUCAAUAUCUGCUUCAUUUUUUGCCUUCCACUAACCAAUUUGCUGUUAUAUUUCUUAUUAUUUGCUUAAUUUCUUCUUAUCUGGCUAUAAUUAUUUCCUCUCUUGUCCUUCUUCUCUCAUAGUAAAGAUGUUGUACACUUUUGCUGAAAUCAACUGCUUUCUUCAUCUUAUAUGUUCUUUUAUUUGUUUUAUCAAUUACUUCUAUGCUUGUAAAAUGUUAGCACAUUUUAGUUGGAAACGGAGUAAUUUUAUUAAGUAUGCAUUUCAAUCGUUUGGCUUAUACAUUUUGGGAUUCUUACAAAAAUUUUCUCUGAAUAUUCAACGGGUAGAUCAACCAUAAAAGUAAAAAAUAUAACUAUGACUGCAUUUUCUCUACGAAAGAGUGAAAUGUGUACAUUAACUCUAGUCCUGGUUUGUUCCUAUUGGGCUGUUGCUGUCUCUUAUUGGUAAUCAGAAGGCAAGGAACUCUCUGAUUAGGAGGGUAGAGAUACAGUAAUACUUAUGGACAGAAGGCCAGUUUGGUUUAUGGUGCUCAAGUUAAAAUGCUCAGGAUACUACUCAAAAGUAAUUACAUCUUGGGGUCUAGUGUUUUACCAUCAUGGAAGGAUUUGAUUGGGAUUGCUGUUCUAUGUAUUUGCUUUCAAGGGUUCCUAAUCCUAUGUUAGCACUUACAUUAUAAUAAUAACAAACAUGGGUCCACUGGAACCUGAGACAUCUUGUCCUCUUUUACAGGAUAAAUGUUGACAAUAAAUCUUGUUACAAGUGCCCUAUUCUGCAAACACCUGUAGAAAAAGAAAGAAGGCCUGUUGUUUCUAUAUUCCUGAAAAUCAGUACUGGUUCUUAUCAAUUCUUUCUUUUCUUGCAGCUCUUAAACGACCGCAGAUGGGAAACAAUGUUCCUAGAGAAAAGGCCGGUGCAGCUGGGGAAGGAUCACAGGAAUAAUGAAUGCAGAAUGGAUAUAGCCUUGGGAGGAUCACCAGAUUAAUGAAUGGAAAUGUGGAACUUAUCCCAAGAUGUUUAACAAAAUUUCUAAUGGAGCCGUGUUCUUUGAUGGGUCUAGUUACACAAAAAUUCAAUUUUGACGCAAGGAAAAGCCUGUUAAUGUUAAUUAUUUUUACUUGUUAGUGAUAUAGAAAACCAUCUGUUUACCUUUGAUUUUUGUUGAAAGUUCUGACAUAUAAAUGAAAAUCUUGUUUUCCCAACUCGUGACUGUAAGUUUACCGCUCUUACGGAAUCAUGGAUUUGAAUGACCUUUCACAUUUUGUUUGCAUAUCUAACCAUAAAGGAUUGAAGAAUAUGUUUUUGACUAAAAGAAUGUUAAAUGGAAUCCCUUAUCCAUGAAAAUGAGAGAUUCUGCAAAAAUCUAUUUAUCCAUUAAAAAUGUGGGAUUCUGCAGAAACACGUUCUAAAAUUCAAUACCAAAUUAGUCCUAAAAAAUGAGUUUUAAAGAGAAUUGAUGCAUCAAUGAAAAUGAGCUCUAGAACCAAUUAGAGU
rnacentral:misc_RNA from 1 species